GUGCUCGCUUCGGCAGCACAUAUACUAAAAUUGGAAGGAUACAGAGAAGAUUAGCAUGGCCCCUGUGCAAGGAUGACA
rnacentral:snRNA from 1 species